GCUGGAAGAAAAAUGGUUGGCAGGUUAUGUGCCGAACCUGAAAAAAUGUGUACAAGUGCAUGUGACUAAAAAGUAUAUAUCUCAGUGAAGUGGUUGGCGAAGCCUGAUGCAGAUAUCUUACUUUGCACCUUUGCCGUCAACCCAACACAUGCAAUAGAUGGUUGUCCACUGCAGAAGUUUGUCCUCCCAUACCAAGUGCCGUUUUCCAGAAUAGGGUAAAUAUUUGUUGAACGUAUGUUUAGUUUUUCGUUGUUCUAAGUUUAGUUUUGUCUAUUUAUUUUUAGAUUCGGCACUUAGUCAUAUUUUAUAUAAAACCUGGUAUUAAACUGACUCUAAUGACCCAGUCAUAUUUUAUAUAAACCCAGCCAUAAUUUAUAUAAUAACCCAGUUAUAAGUUAUAUAAAAAAACCCGUGUGUAAAUUAGAAAUCAUUUAAAAUGAAA